rnacentral:rRNA from 1 species
AUUCCAGCUCCAAUAGCGUAUACUAAAGUUGUUGCAGUUAAAAAGCUCGUAGUUGGAUUUCUGGUCGUGAAAAGUGGUCCGUUCCGCAAGGAAUGUGUACUGUCUAUUCAUGUCCAUCCUCGGAGUUAGUGUGUAUUACUUUAAUCGGUCGUGCAUGCAAUACUUCGUCAUUUACUGUGAGCAAAAUAGAGUGUUCAAAGCAGGCUUAUGCCGUUGAAUAUAUUAGCAUGGAAUAAUAAGAUAGGAUCUUGAUACUAUUUUGUUGGUUUGCGUGUCGAGAUAAUGAUGAAUAGGGACAGUUGGGGGUAUUUGUAUUCCAUAGUCAGAGGUGAAAUUCUUGGAUUUAUGGAAGACAAACUAAUGCGAAAGCAUCUACCAAGGAUGUUUUCAUCG